rnacentral:rRNA from 1 species
UGGGGAAUUUUGGACAAUGGGCGAAAGCCUGAUCCAGCAAUGCCGCGUGUGUGAAGAAGGCCUUCGGGUUGUAAAGCACUUUUGUCCGGAAAGAAAUCCUUGGCUCUAAUACAGUCGGGGGAUGACGGUACCGGAAGAAUAAGCACCGGCUAACUACGUGCCAGCAGCCGCGGUAAUACGUAGGGUGCAAGCGUUAAUCGGAAUUACUGGGCGUAAAGCGUGCGCAGGCGGUUUGCUAAGACCGAUGUGAAAUCCCCGGGCUCAACCUGGGAACUGCAUUGGUGACUGGCAGGCUAGAGUAUGGCAGAGGGGGGUAGAAUUCCACGUGUAGCAGUGAAAUGCGUAGAGAUGUGGAGGAAUACCGAUGGCGAAGGCAGCCCCCUGGGCCAAGUACUGACGCUCAUGCACGAAAGCGUGGGGGAGCAAACAGGAUUAGAUACCCUGGUAGUCCACGCCCUAAACGAUGUCAACUAGUUGUUGGGGGAUUCAUUUUCCUUAGUAACGUAGCUAACGCGUGAAGUUGACCGCCU